GACCAACGCUGGCGGCGUGCAUAAAACAUGCAAGUCGAACGGCCCGCAAGGGCAGUGGCAGACGGCUGAGUAACGCGUAGGAACCUGCCCGCGAGUGGGGGACAACCUCCCGAAAGGGGGGCUAAUACCGCAUACGGUGGCGCGGAAGCGUCAAGAAAGCCUUUGGGUGCUCGCGGAGGGGCCUGCGUCCGAUUAGCUCGUUGGUGGGGUAACGGCCUACCAAGGCGAUGAUCGGUAGCUGGUCUGAGAGGAUGAUCAGCCAGACUGGGACUGGGAGACGGCCCAGACUCCUACGGGAGGCAGCAGUUAGGAAUUUUGGGCAAUGGCCGCAAGGCUGACCCAGCAACGCCGCGUGGGGGACGAAGGCUUUCGGGCUGUAAACCCCUUUUCCCAGGGACGAUGAUGACGGUACCUGGGGAAUAAGCCCCGGCUAACUACGUGCCAGCCGCCGCCGUAAC
rnacentral:rRNA from 1 species